rnacentral:rRNA from 1 species
UGAAUACGAGAUGCUACGGCGUCGAAGCAGUGUAUGUCAGACUUCCAAGAAAAGCUCGCAAUGUCAUAAAUAAAGAAUGCCUGUACCAUAACCGACACAGGUGGGUAGGUAGAGUAUACUAAGGGGCGCGAGAUAACUCUCUCUAAGGAACUCGGCAAAAUAACUCCGUAACUUCGGGAGAAGGAGUGCCUUCUUUAAGAAGGUUGCAAUAACAAGAUCCAAGCAACUGUUUAUCAAAAACACAGGUCUCCGCUAAGUCGUAAGACGAUGUAUGGGGGCUGACGCCUGCCCAGUGCCAGAAGUUAAAGAAGCUGGUUAGCAAUAGCGAAGCUGGUGACUGAAGCCCUGGUGAACGGCGGCCGUAACAAUAACGGUCCUAAGGUAGCGAAAUUCCUUGUCGGGUAAGUUCCGACCCGCACGAAAGGCGUAAUGAUUUGGAUACUGUCUCGGAGAGGGACUCGGUGAAAUAGACUUGUCUGUGAAGAUGCGGACUACCUGCACCAGGACAGAAAGACCCUAUGAAGCUUUACUGUAACCUGAAAUUGAAAUUGGACUUUAUUUGCGCAGUAUAGGUGGGAGGCGUUGAAAGUAAUCUUGCGGGAUUAGUGGAGCCAUCAGUGAGAUACCACUCCUAUAAUGUUAGAUUUCUAACUUUGGAUCAUGAUCUGGUCAAAGAACAGUUUCAGGCGGGCAGUUUGACUGGGGCGGUCGCCUCCCAAAUGGUAACGGAGGCGUACAAAGGUUUCCUCUGAACGGGUAGAAAUCGUAUCUAGAGUGUAAAGGCAUAAGGAAGCUUGACUGUGAGACCUACAAGUCGAGCAGGGACGAAAGUCGGUCUUAGUGAUCUGACGGUGCUGAGUGGAAAGGCCGUCACUCAACGGAUAAAAGUUACUCUAAGGAUAACAGGCUGAUCUCCCCCAAGAGUUCACAUCGACGGGGAGGUUUGGCACCUCGAUGUCGGCUCAUCGCAUCCUGGGGCGGUAGUACGUCCCAAGGGUUGGGCUGUUCGCCCAUGAAAGCGGUACGCGAGCUGGGUUCAGAACGUCGUGAGACAGUUCGGUCCAUAUCCGGUGUAGGCGUUAGAAUAUUGAGAGGAGCCUUCUCUAGUACGAGAGGACCGAGAAGGACAUACCUCUGGUGUACCAGUUAUCGUGCCAACGGUAAACGCUGGGUAGCUAUGUAUGGAGAGGAUAACCGCUGAAAGCAUCUAAGUGGGAAGCCCACCUC